UGGGGAAUAUUGGACAAUGGGCGCAAGCCUGAUCCAGCAAUGCCGCGUGAGUGAAGAAGGCCUUCGGGUUGUAAAGCUCUUUUGUCAGGGAAGAAACGGUGAGGGCUAAUAUCCUUUGCUAAUGACGGUACCUGAAGAAUAAGCACCGGCUAACUACGUGCCAGCAGCCGCGGUAAUACGUAGGGUGCAAGCGUUAAUCGGAAUUACUGGGCGUAAAGCGUGCGCAGGCGGUUAUGUAAGUCAGAUGUGAAAUCCCCGGGCUCAACCUGGGAAUGGCAUUUGAGACUGCAUGGCUAGAGUGUGUCAGAGGGGGGUAGAAUUCCACGUGUAGCAGUGAAAUGCGUAGAGAUGUGGAGGAAUACCGAUGGCGAAGGCAGCCCCCUGGGAUAACACUGACGCUCAUGCACGAAAGCGUGGGGAGCAAACA
rnacentral:rRNA from 1 species